AUGAAGAGGACGCUCCAGACGGAGGAGUCGCUGGUGUGCCAGAGGUCCCGCGACGAUUCGGCGACCUCGAUGGAGAAGACGGCGCCGGAGAUGGCGCCGAUGCCGGCGCCCCGCACCACCCCGCUCUCCGUCGCCAGCCCGAUCACCGACCCCGACACCGCCCCGACCAGCGACCCCACCGCGGCGAAGGCGCACGUCGCCACGACGCAGAGCACCUUGCAGGCCAGCUCAAGCGCCGCGGACCCCAGCCCGGGGCGACCGCCGGCCCAUUGCCGAGGCUCCGGCGCGGACGAGCUGGGGCCAGGGGACGCCGACGUGUCCAUCACGGGAGGGAAAGCGAGAAGCAAACUGUUGAACUCAACUGAACUGGAGCAAACUGAGGACGCACGCACGCCGGUGACGCGGAGGGGAGAUGAUGAGUGGUGA
rnacentral:rRNA from 1 species